rnacentral:lncRNA from 1 species
ACUGACUGAGGGCACCAAAACAAGACAAGCUGUAGUAUGUAGUGUGUGUGAUGAUCUUCAAGUUCAAGAGAUUCAAAAUCACCGGUCUCACUUCAAAUAAAAGCAGAGGCUGGAGAAAAAUUGCUUUUCCGUGAUGUUUACAGAAGCGGCAACUUGCGGAUUAAGAUGCAAGGCAACAGAAUUCUGGUUUACGCAGUCUGUCAGUCCGCGAGCUCAUUCAUCCGCCCAGGCCGUGCAAGAUCCCAUCACACCUCAGAGUUGCUUUUGUCAGGCGUAUUCCAGAAACCACUAAUGGUCGCAGUUAAAACUUUAGACUACUCGGUUGCUGCCCACCUCAAAAUGACUAAGUUGGCUGUACCUGAAAGACAGCAUUGUGUGUGUGAAAAAGUCCACGGUGACAGACAGCAGGAUAGGCCUUCAGUGGACUUGCUUGAGUUAUAUUUGACUUUGUGUAUUAUUGUUUAUUUUAAUUCAGUGUUCAUGACUUUUAUCAUUCAAUAUUAUAAGAUUUUUGUAUAUCAUAUUGUUUUAAGCAGUAAUCACAGUUAGGCCAAUAAAAAAUGUGGUUUUGUAUGUAAUGGCAAAACCAUCACUUCCUUCUUUGGUGUCACAUUGCCAGUUAGAAUUUUUUCUAUUAUUCUAGUUAUUAUUGUAAUAUUGAAUUUUAUCAUGUUUAUCAUAUUAUCAUCAGUAUUAAAAACACUUGUGUUGUUUGAUC